rnacentral:tRNA from 1 species
GGAGCGGCAGGGGCUGGUGCCCCAUCCGGUCUUCAAAACCGGCACGCGGCCGCAGCCCGGUCGUAGGUAGGUUCGAUUCCUGCGCCGCUCCG